rnacentral:rRNA from 1 species
GAUGAACGCUAGCUACAGGCUUAACACAUGCAAGUCGAGGGGCAGCAUGAACUUAGUUUGCUAAGUUUGAUGGCGACCGGCGCACGGGUGAGUAACACGUAUCCAACCUGCCGAUGACUCGGGGAUAGCCUUUCGAAAGAAAGAUUAAUACCCGAUGGCAUAGUUCUUCCGCAUGGUAGAACUAUUAAAGAAUUUCGGUCAUCGAUGGGGAUGCGUUCCAUUAGGUUGUUGGCGGGGUAACGGCCCACCAAGCCUUCGAUGGAUAGGGGUUCUGAGAGGAAGGUCCCCCACAUUGGAACUGAGACACGGUCCAAACUCCUACGGGAGGCAGCAGUGAGGAAUAUUGGUCAAUGGACGAGAGUCUGAACCAGCCAAGUAGCGUGAAGGAUGACUGCCCUAUGGGUUGUAAACUUCUUUUAUACGGGAAUAAAGUGAGGCACGUGUGCCUUUUUGUAUGUACCGUAUGAAUAAGGAUCGGCUAACUCCGUG